rnacentral:rRNA from 1 species
UACGUAGGGUGCGAGCGUUGUCCGGAAUUACUGGGCGUAAAGAGCUCGUAGGUGGUUUGUCGCGUUGUUCGUGAAAACUCACAACUCAAUUGUGGGCGUGCGGGCGAUACGGGCAGACUGGAGUACUGCAGGGGAGACUGGAAUUCCUGGUGUAGCGGUGGAAUGCGCAGAUAUCAGGAGGAACACCGGUGGCGAAGGCGGGUCUCUGGACAGUUCCUGACACUGAGGCACGAAGGCCAGGGGAGCAAACGGG